GAUGAACGCUGGCGGCAGGCUUAACACAUGCAAGUCGAACGGAACCUUCGGGUUUAGUGGCGAACGGGUGAGUAAUACCUAGGAAUCUGCCUAUUAGUGGGGGAUAACGGCUCGAAAGGGUCGCUAAUACCGCAUACGUCCUACGGGAGAAAGAGGGGGAUCUUCGGACCUCUUGCUAAUAGAUGAGCCUAGGCCGGAUUAGCUAGUUGGUAGGGUAAAGGCCUACCAAGGCGACGAUCCGUAGCUGGUCUGAGAGGAUGAUCAGCCACACUGGAACUGAGACACGGUCCAGACUCCUACGGGAGGCAGCAGUGGGGAAUAUUGGACAAUGGGGGCGAACCCUCGAUCCAGCCAUGCCGCGUGUGUGAAGAAGG
rnacentral:rRNA from 1 species